GUCUUGCACAGCCAUCAAAGUCCUUGAUCAAGUCCAUAUGCUACCCAGAGGCAUACAAGUUCUCUACAGCUGCAACAAGGCAACUGCCCGAAAGCAGUAUGAAGGAGUACAAAGUCUGCACCACCAGGGUUUCAGCUGUAAAGACAGCGGGCUUUGGCUGAACCCUCAAUGGCCAUACAUGGGAGCGUCGCCAGACGGAGGUGUCACGUGCACCUGCCAUGGAACUGGUAUCUGUGAGAUAAAGUGCCCACACAGCAAACAAGAGGAGGCCAAUCUUCGCCUGUGUGCUGGAGAACAGGGCUUCUGUCUCGUCAACGAUGGGGGCAC